rnacentral:rRNA from 1 species
GACGAACGCUGGCGGCGUGCUUAACACAUGCAAGUCGAACGGAAAGGCCCUGCUUUUGUGGGGUGCUCGAGUGGCGAACGGGUGAGUAACACGUGAGUAACAUGCCCUUGACUUUGGGAUAACUUCAGGAAACUGGGGCGAAUACCGGAUAGGAGCUCCUGCUGCAUGGGGGGGGUUGGAAAGUUUCGGCGGUUGGGGAUGGACUCGCGGCUUAUCAGCUUGUUGGUGGGGUAGUGGCUUACCAAGGCUUUGACGGGUAGCCGGCCUGAGAGGGUGACCGGCCACAUUGGGCCUGAGGUACGGCCCAGACUCCUACGGGAGGCAGCAGUGGGGAAUAUUGCACAAUGGGCGGAAGCCUGAUGCAGCAACGCCGCGUGCGGGAUGACGGCCUUCGGGUUGUAAACCGCUUUCGCCUGUGACGAAGCGUGAGUGACGGUAAUGGGUAAAGAAGCACCGGCUAACUACGUG